rnacentral:rRNA from 1 species
AACGCUAGCUACAGGCUUAACACAUGCAAGUCGAGGGGCAGCAUUUUAGUUUGCUUGCAAACUAAAGAUGGCGACCGGCGCACGGGUGAGUAACACGUAUCCAACCUGCCGAUAACUCGGGGAUAGCCUUUCGAAAGAAAGAUUAAUAUCCGAUAGUAUAUUAAAACCGCAUGGUUUUACUAUUAAAGAAUUUCGGUUAUCGAUGGGGAUGCGUUCCAUUAGUUUGUUGGCGGGGUAACGGCCCACCAAGACUACGAUGGAUAGGGGUUCUGAGAGGAAGGUCCCCCACAUUGGAACUGAGACACGGUCCAAACUCCUACGGGAGGCAGCAGUGAGGAAUAUUGGUCAAUGGACGAGAGUCUGAACCAGCCAAGUAGCGUGAAGGAUGACUGCCCUAUGGGUUGUAAACUUCUUUUAUAUGGGAAUAAAGUAUUCCACGUGUGGAAUUUUGUAUGUACCAUAUGAAUAAGGAUCGGCUAACUCCGUGCCAGCAGCCGCGGUAAUACGGAGGAUCCGAGCGUUAUCCGGAUUUAUUGGGUUUAAAGGGAGCGUAGGUGGAUUGUUAAGUCAGUUGUGAAAGUUUGCGGCUCAACCGUAAAAUUGCAGUUGAAACUGGCAGUCUUGAGUACAGUAGAGGUGGGCGGAAUUCGUGGUGUAGCGGUGAAAUGCUUAGAUAUCACGAAGAACUCCGAUUG